rnacentral:rRNA from 1 species
UACGUAGGGUGCAGGCGUUAAUCGGAAUUACUGGGCGUAAAGCGUGCGCAGGCGGUCUCUUAAGUCAGGUGUGAAAUCCCCGAGCUUAACUUGGGAACUGCGCUUGUAACUGAGAGGCUAGAGUGUGGCAGAGGGGGGUGGAAUUCCACGUGUAGCAGUGAAAUGCGUAGAGAUGUGGAGGAACACCGAUGGCGAAGGCAGCCCCCUGGGCUAACACUGACGCUCAUGCACGAAAGCGUGGGGAGCAAACAGG